GCCUUUCAUCUUUCCAGAUACUUCUCUCUGUGUUCUUUUACCUGGGUGUGAAGCAGUAGCGGAUCUUGCAUAAAACCUACAGACUGGAGUAGCUGUAAUAAGGUAGUUGAUUCCACUGAAUGCCUCGGAGAUGACUGUGCCUGUCGCAGUCCAGGAGUCUGUUCAUCAAGCAGCGCCUGCACCGGCAAUAAUGGUUACUGCUUCAGUGUGCAGAGCAGCCACUUAUGCAGUGGUACCGUGUUCUCUGAAGAAUGCAGUGGGACAAAUUGUUCCUGCUGCAUUGAAGACCUUAUACUGUGGUUCUUCAGACAGCAGUUGAAAAAGGAGGGGUAAUUCUUAGUGAGGGUAUCCUUAGGCCCUGUCCACACUGUCGAGCAGAGCCCCACUGCCUGAUGUUUGUAUUUCUCUCGCUUCUGAAGCAAUGUUACCAGAUGAUCGUAUCCUUUCAGGCUCAUACUGUUAGGCAGAGCCCGACGGUCUCUGCCCUUACCAGGCAAGGUCCGUCUGUAGCAGUGUUACUAAAGUGAGGAAAUUCGUCUGCUAACGAUGAAGAUUUGAGUUAGGGACAAUGAGACGAGGAUAUGAGUACCUAAUUCCCCCUCAAACUGAUAAUAUGAGGAAAUAUUUCCUCAACGCUUAUAGCUGUAUCAAGGCAUUUCUACAGAUUUUAUUUCAUAUAUAUGUAUACACACAAACUUAUCUACAGUACAUUAUAUAUACUUACAUUCAUACAUACACAUGCAUACAUAUGUAAGCAUUCUAUAUUUAAGAUUUUACUGAGUGUACUUUGAUGUUUGUAUGUUCUUCAUUCCUGAAAGCACUUGUUACUGGAGAUAAAUUUCGUAUUAACUUAGUGGAUAUUGAAUAAUGAAUAAUUAAAACGCAUAAAAGAUGUUUAUAGAAAAAUUGUUCCGUUCUUAACAUUCAUUACGUUUUAUGCAUUUUUUCGUAUUAGAGCUACUAGCAAAAACUAAAUAAAUAAAAUAAAAUAAAAAAAUGGUAGACAGCCUACCCAACUCGGUUUUAUGGAAAAAUUUAUAUACCUUUUUAUUUGGAAACAUAUAUGCACAUGUUUUUGAUGUAGGUACCGUACUGUGAAUGUGAUAUGUACAUAUUCUUUUCGUUUAUGGAUACAUGUCUCUGUAAUGGGGAACAAAACUGUACGAACAGGUUUAUAGAAUAACAUGAGUAAAGAACUUUACAUGCAUAGCAUUCAUUCAUUUGCUUGUUUCUCUCUCUCUCUCUCUCUCUCUCUCUCUCUCUCUCUCUCUCACAAUCAUCAUGGUAUCUGAAGCAGUAAAAAAGGCUGGAGGUUGCACCAGGUUUACGCCGACUAAAUCUAUGAUUGAAUGCUUGAAAUCAUGGUGAUGAUAUAAAUGAGGAAGAGGUGGUGGAGGAGUAGGACAAUUAAUGAAGAGUAAUGAUGACUUCUUUAAAUGGUAUUGGAUAUGUAAAUAAAAUGUCUGUAUAGCUAAUACAGUAAUUAUGUAAAUAAAA